AGUGAACGCUGGCGGUAGGCCUAACACAUGCAAGUCGAACGGCAGCACAGUAAGAGCUUGCUCUUACGGGUGGCGAGUGGCGGACGGGUGAGGAAUACAUCGGAAUCUACUUUUUCGUGGGGGAUAACGUAGGGAAACUUACGCUAAUACCGUAUACGACCUACGGGUGAAAGCAGGGGAUCUUCGGACCUUGCGCGAUUGAAUGAGCCGAUGUCGGAUUAGCUAGUUGGCAGGGUAAAGGCCCACCAAGGCGACGAUCCGUAGCUGGUCUGAGAGGAUGAUCAGCCACACUGGAACUGAGACACGGUCCAGACUCCUACGGGAGGCAGCAGUGGGGAAUAUUGGACAAUGGGCGCAAGCCUGAUCCAGCCAUACCGCGUGGGUGAAGAAGGCCUUCGGGUUGUAAAGCCCUUUUGUUGGGAAAGAAAAGCAGCAGGUUAAUACCCCGCUGUUCUGACGGUACCCAAAGAAUAAGCACCGGCUAACUUCGUG
rnacentral:rRNA from 1 species